UACGUAGGGUGCGAGCGUUAAUCGGAAUUACUGGGCGUAAAGCGUGCGUAGGCGGUUCUCCAAGUCCGUUGUGAAAGCCCCGGGCUCAACCUGGGAAUGGCAGUGGAAACUAGGGGACUGGAAUCUGGCAGAGGGGGUGGAAUGCCGCGGUGUAGCAGUGAAAUGCGUAGAGAUGCGGCGGAACACCGAUGGCGAAGGCAGCCCCUGGGCUGAGAUUGACGCUCAGGCACGAAAGCGUGGGGAGCAAACAGG
rnacentral:rRNA from 1 species